GAGUGUGGCCCGACGGCAAUGAAUACUGCUAACUUUCGUCCCCUUGGUUAAACUCCAAGGUACUCUCA
rnacentral:tRNA from 1 species